AAACCACCAGUGAUGGCUGUCUUUCAGACCCAUACAGUAGAAGGGGCCAAAAUUUAUUAACUACUUUUUGAUUUUAAAUUUUGCUUUACAAUAUCUUUUCCGGCAUCAGUAGAUUUCAAGUGAUGCUCAUUUCUGUCCUUCCACCCUCUCAGUUUGCCCAGCAGUCAAGGUUCGUUUUCGUCAGGACUAUUGACAUUGCUGUGAAGUUUCCUGUGGCAGGCUGCCCAGAUGCUUCUGUCCAGAUCCUCUGAGCACCAAGCAGUUACACAAGGCCCCUCUGUGUGGCUUAUUGUCGCCUUCCACUCCCACUCACAUACUGUGGAUGGAUAGGAGUUUUGAUGCUAGGGUCAAAAAUAGGCAGGUUACUUACUUAAAAGGUGGCAUUUUGCAAGCAGAAUGGAUACUCAGAGAAGAAGAUGGACAAUGUGAGGACAAUCAGAGGCAGGAAAAGAUGUAAGGAAUUUGGAACAGUCCAGGCUCCCCAUGUAGCACAGUGGUCUGACAACUGGGAGUCCUCUCUGAGAAAGAAGGGAAGGCUCAGUGCUGCCGGGAGCACUCUGAUUACUCCUUGCUCUGUAGGCUCUGGCAGCCCUUCAGACAACAUCACUAGCUCCCCUGCUCCCGCUCCUGCAGUGUUUCAUCCCUCUUUCUUCACUUACUUUCACCUCCCUCUCGGGCACCCAGUGUGUUACUGAUGUCUGCAUUUGUUUCCUGACAAGGAAGAACGUGAUCUGAUCUUAGACCAUCAUGAGACAGGUUAGCUUUACCCUACUGUUGAUGUGUUGUUGCCAUGGUAAUCCUGCUCAGUAUAAAAGGAACCACAGUUUCAGACAUUUGUUGUAUGUGCUUGGCUGAGGAGCCAAUGGGGUGAAGUUUCCU
rnacentral:lncRNA from 1 species